GUGAGAUCCCUCCAAAAAUAGG
rnacentral:snRNA from 1 species